ACUUGAAGUUGGCGUUGGUACAGAUGGUGUGUGUCUGUGUGUGUAUACAGCAGGUACUUGAAGUUGGUACAGAUGAUGUGUGUCUGUGUGUGUAUACAGCAGGUACUUGAUGUUGGUACAGAUGGUGUGUGUCUGUGUGUGUAUACAGCAGGUACUUGAAGUUGGCGUUGGUACAGAUGAUGUGUGUCUGUGUGUGUAUACAGCAGGUACUUGACGUUGGUACAGAUGGUGUGUGUCUGUGUGUAU